GAUACUCUAGAAUGUCCGUUAUUCCUUUCAUCGUCUGGCCUACUCCUUUUAUACGGGAGCCUGACAUCGCGCCGUGGCUGCUGGAUCGUCUCCGAGCGAAUAGCAAAAGCGGCUGCUGAGGGCACCCACCUGCAAUCGCAGGUUAGACCUGUUGGUCGACGGCAUUUCGGAACCCGC
rnacentral:other from 1 species